UACAGAGGUCUCAAGCGUUGUUCGGAUUCAUUGGGCGUAAAGGGUGCGUAGGCGGCGCGGUAAGUCGGGUGUGAAAUCUCGGAGCUUAACUCCGAAACUGCAUUCGAUACUGCCGUGCUUGAGGACUGGAGAGGAGACUGGAAUUUACGGUGUAGCGGAUGAAAUGCGUAGAUAUCGUAAGGAAGACCAGUGGCGAAGGCGGGUCUCUGGACAGUUCCUGACGCUGAGGCACGAAGGUCAGGGGAGCAAACGGG
rnacentral:rRNA from 1 species